UACGGGGGGAGCAAGCGUUGUUCGGAUUUACUGGGCGUAAAGGGCGCGUAGGCGGUCAGCACAAGUCAGUUGUGAAAUCUCCGGGCUUAACCCGGAAAGGUCAACUGAUACUGUGCGACUAGAGUGCGGAAGGGGCAACUGGAAUUCUCGGUGUAGCGGUGAAAUGCGUAGAUAUCGAGAGGAACACCUGCGGCGAAGGCGGGUUGCUGGGCCCGACACUGACGCUUGAUGCGCGAAAGCCAGGGGGAGCGAACGGGG
rnacentral:rRNA from 1 species